CAUCACUCCUCUCAAAGCAUGUGGGCUCCAGCCCCUCCUCCAGACAGCUCCUGAUGGCAGCCAGGCCACUGACACCAGCUCCAAUGAUGGCCACUUUCUUCUUCAUGGGUGCCUGCGGAGAGGUGCAGAGAUCACUUCCAGCAUCAUUUGGGUGGCCGUGGUGAAAGAUAAAAGAUCUGGAAAAAAGAAAUGAACAUAUGAAGAAAGGGGAGUGAGUCCCUGUCCUGUGGAAGAUGAGGUGUGAUGGAAACAAAGUACUUAUGAGCUGAGUCCUCUCCCACCUCAAUUCUUACCAACCCCAAGGAACACAAACUGUACUUCUUGGAUGCCCAUCAACUUAUGAACAGACAACAACUGUGGUACAUGCAUACACAGGGAUUUUAUUUGGCUUCUAAGAGGCAAACUUGUGAAAUUUGCAGGUAGCAAGAGUGGGUAGCAAAGCCCUCUGUGGAGAAACGAGACACCAAUAAACUAGAGACCUGCGGGGAUCUCCUGCUGGUGUGCAGCUCAGGACUGAAGCUUUGAAGAUUUUUCAAACU
ensembl:antisense Gm37273 predicted gene, 37273